CCUACGGGAGGCAGCAGUGAGGAAUAUUGGUCAAUGGGCGCGAGCCUGAACCAGCCAAGUAGCGUGAAGGAUGACUGCCCUACGGGUUGUAAACUUCUUUUAUAAAGGAAUAAAGUGAGGCACGUGUGCCUGUUUGAAUGUACUUUAUGAAUAAGGAUCGGCUAACUCCGUGCCAGCAGCCGCGGUAAUACGGAGGAUCCGAGCGUUAUCCGGAUUUAUUGGGUUUAAAGGGAGCGUAGAUGGGUUGUUAAGUCAGUUGUGAAAGUCUGGGGCUCAACCGCAAAACUGCAAUUGAUACUGGCGGCCUAGAGUAUAGUUGAGGUAGGCGGAAUGCGUGGUGUAGCGGUGAAAUGCUUAGAUAUCACGCAGAACACCGAUUGCGAAGGCAGCCUACUAAACUGCCACUGACGUUGAUGCACGAAAGUGUGGGUAGCAAACAGGAUUAGAUACCCGGGUAGUC
rnacentral:rRNA from 1 species